rnacentral:rRNA from 1 species
UACGAAGGGGGCUAGCGUUGCUCGGAAUCACUGGGCGUAAAGCGCACGUAGGCGGAUUGUUAAGUCAGGGGUGAAAUCCUGGAGCUCAACUCCAGAACUGCCUUUGAUACUGGCGAUCUUGAGUCCGGGAGAGGUGAGUGGAACUGCGAGUGUAGAGGUGAAAUUCGUAGAUAUUAGGAAGAACACCGGUGGCGAAGGCGGCCCACUGGUCCGGUACUGACGCUGAGGUGCGAAAGCGUGGGGAGCAAACAGGAUGAGAA